rnacentral:rRNA from 1 species
AUUGAACGCUGGCGGCAGGCCUAACACAUGCAAGUCGAGCGAGCGGCGGACGGGUGAGUAAUGUAUAGGGAUCUUCCUGAUGGAGGGGGAUAGCUACUGGGAACGGUUGCUAAUACCGCAUACCUUCAGCUGAGCCCAUAUGGGAUUAGCUUGUAGGUGGGGUAACGGCUCACCAAGGCGACGAUCCCUAGCUGGUCUGAGAGGAUGAUCAGCCACACUGGGACUGAGACACGGCCCAGACUCCUACGGGAGGCAGCAGUGGGGAAUAUUGGACAAUGGGCGCAAGCCUGAUGCAGCCAUGCCGCGUGUAUGAAGAAGGCCUUCGGGUUGUAAAGUACUUUCAGUCGGGAGGCGUUACCGACAGAAGAAGCACCGGCUAACUCCGUGCCAGCAGCCGCGGUAAUUC